rnacentral:rRNA from 1 species
GACGAACGCUGGCGGCGUGCCUAAUACAUGCAAGUCGAGCGGACUGAUUAAGAGCUUGCUCUUAUGACGUUAGCGGCGGACGGGUGAGUAACACGUGGGCAACCUGCCCUGUAGAUCGGGAUAACACCGAGAAAUCGGUGCUAAUACCGGGUAAUAUCUGAGAUCACAUGAUCUUAGGUUAAAAGAUGGCUCCGGCUAUCACUACAGGAUGGGCCCGCGGCGCAUUAGCUAGUUGGUAAGGUAAUGGCUUACCAAGGCGACGAUGCGUAGCCGACCUGAGAGGGUGAUCGGCCACACUGGGACUGAGACACGGCCCAGACUCCUACGGGAGGCAGCAGUAGGGAAUCUUCCGCAAUGGACGAAAGUCUGACGGAGCAACGCCGCGUGAGUGAUGAAGGGUUGCGGCUCGUAAAGCUCUGUUGUUAGGGAAGAAACAGUACCGAACGAACUAGGUCGGUACCUUGACGGUACCUAACCAGAAAGCCACGGCUAACUACGUG